CGGUGCAUAUGAUGAUUUUGUUAUCCCUGUCUGAAUUAAGUGUGGACACAAUGGUAUCUGAUCUGCACUG
ensembl:snoRNA small nucleolar RNA R38